UAGGGAAUCUUCCACAAUGGGCGCAAGCCUGAUGGAGCAACACCGCGUGAGUGAAGAAGGGUUUCGGCUCGUAAAGCUCUGUUGUUAAAGAAGAACACGUAUGAGAUUAACUGUUCAUACGUUGACGGUAUUUAACCAGAAAGUUACGGCUAACUACGUGCCAGCAGCCGCGGUAAUACGUAGGUGGCAAGCGUUAUCCGGAUUUAUUGGGCGUAAAGAGAGUGCAGGCGGUUUUCUAAGUCUGAUGUGAAAGCCUUCGGCUUAACCGGAGAAGUGCAUCGGAAACUGGAUAACUUGAGUGCAGAAGAGGGUAGUGGAACUCCAUGUGUAGCGGUGGAAUGCGUAGAUAUAUGGAAGAACACCAGUGGCGAAGGCGGCUACCUGGUCUGCAACUGACGCUGAGACUCGAAAGCAUGGGUAGCGAACAGGAUUAGAUACCCUGGUAGUCCAUGCCGUAACGAUGAGUGCUAGGUGUUGGAGGGUUUCCGCCCUUCAGUGCCGGAGCUAACGCAUUAAGCACUCCGCCUGGGGAGUACGACCGCAAGGUU
rnacentral:rRNA from 1 species